GUCACCGACUAUACCACGUAGAAAUCACCGGUUCUCGUCCAAUCACCGAAGAUUAACUACGUCGGGCGAGGUUAGUACUUGCAUGGGUGACCGGCUGGGAAUACCCAGUGUUGCUGACU
rnacentral:rRNA from 1 species